rnacentral:tRNA from 1 species
GUCCCUGUAGCGCAAUGGAAAACGUGUUUGACUUCUAAUCGAAAUAUCGUGGGCUCGAAUUCCACCUGGGAUG